rnacentral:tRNA from 1 species
GGUAAAGUGGCUGAGGUGUAGGCAAUAAAUUGUAAAUUUAUGAACGAAAUUUAAUUUCCUUUACCA